UGGAAGAGUCUGCUGGCGGGAAGGGAGAAGAGUGGGAGGAGGAAAUAAGCAACAGGCAGCUUCCUUUCUUGACAGAUGGAAAAUAAAGGGCCUGUGCACAGCUCGGCGAACUGCUCCGUGGACCUCCCAGCGGGGCUGCUUUCUGAGGUGAUGGUCUCCUCGCUCCUUAGCCAGCCUGGUGGAGCCAGCUACUGACGUUGGAAAGGAGUUGGAGGAUGGAGCACCAGAUACUGCUACACCAUCUCAUCGGCAUGGACCUAUAUGUGGCAGCAAGUCCAUCUCAUCGCUUUUGGUGAAAGUCAGUCCAGUUUGUAAAGAUUCUCAUUGCCUUGGAAAGUGUUCCAGGAAUGGACUUUCUGCAGUAUGAUGACCUGCAAAAGCAGCCCUUCCAUUUACAUUUCAAACUCCAAGUCAGCCGUGUCAAAGUUUGAACCAGAACUGUGGAGGAUAAUGGGUCAGAUGCAAUUAGCAGCCCAGAGAACCACACGUUGCAGUCUGAUUUAUUUUUUUGCCCAUCAGAUUCCAAGAAUCCUAGUGCUUAAAAGCAACUAAACAAUCGCUCUAUUGUACUGAAAUAAAGCCCGGUUAAUUCAGAAAUCAAUUGCACCACCAGGUGGGGCACACUCUGGCCCCAAACAGAUGGGGUUGAAAACUCCCCUCAAAAUGCAGUCUUGUUAAAUUAAAAACUUGAUCCAGGAGUGGAACAAAUAGGGAGCCAUGAAUGGAAUGGAGUCAGGUCCACUCAGGCGGAUUCUUUCUUCUCCCACUCCUUUUCCUUUAAAAAAGAAAAAUUCCCCAUUUCACUUUCAUCAGUGUUAGCAUCUAUGCAGAAACGCAGCCAUCCACCCUUUGCAGUUGAAUGUGUUACUUUAAUUAGUCUGAAAAUUAAAGGGCAACUCCGGGCCAAUGUGAAUGAUUAUGAAAAUACAUGUGCAUCCCAUGCAAUCUUCUCAUUUAAUUAAUAGUCUUGUAAACUAUAUGGCUCACUUUAAGUCAGUCAAGAGGUAUAACAACUCCAUUUUAAAUAUCCACUUAAUACUUAACAGGAUGUGAGGAACACACUAUAGCAUACGGUCCCUUCUCAAGUUUCACUGUCUGAAAUUUUUCAAAGCUGACCCAAGUCAACCUGAAAAAUGUUUAACACCCUGGGCUUGAACACAAGAAACUCUGUGAUGAACAGACAUUCAAUUACAUUUUUUAAAAGUGAGAAGCAUUUUUGUAAAAUAGCGACUCUGGAAACUAAUUGGCAGCCGCAAAACUUGUGAGCAAAGGCCAAAUCUUGUGGGGAACUUUUACUACAGUAACACGACUCAAAGAAAAUGUGAAUAAAAGGCAUCUUUGUUUCCCAGUCAAAUUAGCUGAUUAAGAAAUAAAACAUCUUAACAUGUU
rnacentral:lncRNA from 1 species